UACGUAGGGUGCAAGCGUUAAUCGGAAUUAUUGGGCGUAAAGGGUGCGUAGGCGGUUGUUUAAGUCUGUCGUGAAAUUCCCUGGCUCAACCUGGGAAUGGCGAUGGAUACUGGGCAGCUAGAGUGUGUCAGAGGAUGGUGGAAUUCCCGGUGUAGCGGUGAAAUGCGUAGAGAUCGGGAGGAACAUCAGUGGCGAAGGCGGCCAUCUGGGACAACACUGACGCUGAAGCACGAAAGCGUGGGGAGCAAACAGA
rnacentral:rRNA from 1 species